UUCAUUUUAGCGGAUAGACCCAAACUAAGUGCGCCAAUGAUAGGACAUAUGGGGAUAGGGCACCUCCACUGAAAUGAACAAUGAAUUCCAUUAACAUGUCUUGGUGAAAACAAUAUUUAUCAGGGCAUGUGAUAAUGCAAUGCCCAACAAAUCCCCACUGAAUCAAACAAAAACAUACCCAAACAACAAGCUAUAUGAUUAUUUCACCAGUACAAGCACAAUAUGACUAGAAUUUUUAAAUUAAAGAAUUCCAGCCUAUUAAUUCAUUUUUUUCAAAAAUGAAACAGCAACAAAAUAAACCAGCCUAUCUAUAGAUUAUUAUUUUUUAAAUAAAUCAUGAGGCAAUGAUGGUUUACAUGACCAGAUAGGUAUGGAAUUUGUAGGGGGAGCAGGUUUUGCAUAGCUAUUUUGGAACACUUUUCUAAUUCAUCAGUACCAAAUUUUAUCCUAGUGAAUUUGGUGUAUUAAGCAAUGUCAGGUUUCCUUUGAUCUUAUUUGAGAUUUUAAGCCUAGCUAGUUGGUUUUUCCCCCUGAACAGUUUCUAAACUGGAUAUUGUUCAAUUCUCCAUCUAUAAGUGCUUCCAAAAUGUUAAUUUGUGACAAGAAUAAUCAGAUAUGUGUUUAGGGGAUUUUUACUGCUGGAUUGGUGCUAGCCAAAUAAUAAUUCUGAAACAGGAAUAUUUUUGCCUUCCUCUAUUUUUGUUGAUCUUUCUCUUGGGAGUAUAAAUUUUAAUUCUAGAAGAAUAUUAGAAUAUCGCCUGCAGAAACAUUAGGUUAGGUCAUAGUGCAAUUUAAUACGAGAUGCAACUCACCUAACAAAACAAUGUUUAAUAGUGGUAUCUUCUAAAAGAAACGUAUCAGUGGCAUUGAUAAUAAAAGCAAUAAUAUUUAUAGUACAUGGUAUAGUAUCAUUUUUUUCCAGAAAAAAAGUGUGAAAUGAUGGCAUUUGAAACAAUUAAGACAUAAAUUAAAUCCAAUACUUGAAUUCCAAAUGUAAUAGGGACCGAAAAGUGGCCUCAUGUGAAAAGGCUACACACUGCAAUUACAGGUAUUUCAGCACUGUGGAAUAGAUCAUAGGACUUUCACAACAAAGAAAUAGUGAAAGCAGACAUGAUACCAGCUCUAAAGUGUUCACACCUUCAAAUAUGAUGAUAAUCUCGGAAAGAUGCUUUGGACAGAAUUAUUUAAGUCAUCAGAAAGAAACCUUACCGUCAAAGAUAUGGAUAUUCCUGACGUUACCAAUCUAACAUGGAUCCUCUGAAGGAUAUUUGUAGAAAAGUAAUUGAGGGUGACUUUGCCAUCCCAGUGAGGAAAACAUUGCAAGAGAAAAUAAAGUGACGGAAUCGUGCUGUAAUGCUGCCACUGUGACUUAAACUUCAGUAUGCCUUAUUUAAGGUACCAGAGAGGUGGACAGCAUACUCUUCCUUUCUCUCAUUCUUUCUUUCCUUUCUUCCUGAUUUCCUUCCUUAUUUUUUCAAGGCCUUUUCUUCCCAUUCCACAUUGUUUGUUUUUUCAGUUGUUAACAAUGUCAUGUUGACUCCUAAUUAAAACUGUAAAAUAAAUUACUCUAGGCAUCUUGUAGUUUGUUUUCAUUUGCCUUGCUCAGUUCUACAAGCUGGCUCAUGUGUUUGCAGAAUUGCACCAUAACUUACUAUAAUGUUUGGAAGAUUGAUUCCCCAUCUCCAAAUUCCAUCUCUUCAAAUGCUGGCUCAAAUCUAGCACAUUUUGUUUCCACUUAUUUUCUCAAUUCUGAAAACCUUCCAUGUUUUCAGAAUGAAAUAACUUUUUUUUUUUUUGAAAAAUAAAUACUGUGUUUCUAAAAUAACUGUUGCUUCUGCAAUGUAAAAUAUCUCUUGUGUUGUAAGAUUACAAACAUAUGGAGCAUCUAUGCAUACAUUCACACAUAAUAUUUUUUUUCAUCUGCAUCUGGGGAUUUGUCAUUCCAUGUGAUGGAGUAAGGUAUAAUCUAGCAUUAGAUAACAAUGUUAUCAUGAGGUUAUCUUAUCCCAGGAGCUGGUUGUUUGGAAUGACUAAUUUAGAAUGACUUUUCCUUUGGUUCUUCAUUCGAUAGAAACCACAUUACAGAAAGGAAGGAUGAGAUUGGGGGUCAGUAUGUUCAUAAAGCUUCCCAGUAGAAUUAAUUCAGCAGCAAUAUUAGUAAAUAUUCCCAAAAGGCAGAUAGUCUAAAAUUUGGCCAGCAAAGAAUUAAUGGAUCCCUAGAUACGAUUCAAAUGAAUAUCAAGUGAUUCAACCUGUGUGGCUCUGUGUUCCCUAAGUCUUAAACGUUUUUACUAAAAACUAUUCUUGAAGCACGGCAUAUGUAUCUAAUAUGACCCAGUCAUCUCUUAUUAGUUUCUGCCCAUUGAUUAUAGUAUAAUUUAUUAAUCUAUAAAUAUUAUCUUUCAUGCAUUAGAGUGAAAUCUGAUUACUGAAGCACACAUCAUAUUUUCCAGAUACCUUUUUAAUUUGCACCUCUUCCAGAUAAGAGGUAUAUAGGUGUUAAGAUGUUAGGUGACAGGAUUUGUAAAUCUGUUGCUUUCAAAUUAAUAUUUGGUAUUAGUUUCAUAUACCAUUUCCCCCACCCUGUACAAUGAUUCUAUCCUGUACAAUGUCUGAUUUGAGGUGUGCCAAGAAAUGCAAGCAUCUCCUCCCAGUUCUCUUAAACAGACUAUACAUUUUUGAAGCCCUCUUGCAUAAUCUGAAAUAGUCAACCUCUUACGUUGGGCUGUACGGUUGCAUACUUUACAAUACACUGUCUUAAUUUCAUUUAUCUUACAGUUUGGCUUGAUUCAGACCUCACACCAAAGCAUGCUUUGCACUAAUUGUAGUUUAGAACCCAAACCAUGGUUUUAGCUUCCAAAUGUAAAGACAAAGCAUGAGUUAGAGCUGCUUGUUUGCUUUUGUUUGCUCUGCUACAUCAUGUCAGUUCCUUCUCAUGUGGGGCAAAUAUAGGUAACUGCCUAGGUCCAGUGCUCUCAGGGGCCCACACCUUUACACAGCACGCAUUUCUACAGGUCCUGUACAUGGACAAAUAGCAGGCCAGUGGCUAGGCAGAAACCAUGCAUUCAGUCACUCUUUUGUGGCUCCAGGAAAUGCAGGCAUGGGGUAGGGGCAUGCCUGCAUUAAGAGAAAACUAUUUCCAAUAAACGAAGACAGAAAAGUUAUUAUUUUCCCUCUCCCAUGCGGGGUAGGGGGAGUAUUGUUAUUUUUACCCUACUUACUUUGCGUCUCAUCCCAUGUUGAAUUCCAAGAAUGUGAGGCAACCACAUUCACCUAUUUAAACUGCAUUUGAGGCUCGCAAAUCCUGAAUCCAACUAAUUCAAUAAUAUUUACUUGCGUACAACCAAAUAUCGUUGUGAGUAAUCCUACAUAAAUGGCAUUAUACUAAAGACCUUUACUUUUAAUAGUGAAAGUUAUUACUAGUGCACUCUCUGCUCUUUUCUGUUUCUUGGAGUGGGGAUGGAAUGGGACAGAAUUUCUUACUAAAAUCUAGUAUGUUGAAACUGUUUUAUAAGGCCACGUGUUAUAUUUAUAAUGUAUGAAUAAUAAAGGUGUGAAAAGAGAAUAUUAAUUCUACAUUUUGCUGUUUCUAAAGCUAUCUUAUAGAGUAAGUGGUUAAGGUGUAUGUCCUAGAAAUGCUUUGUAUAGAGUUCUAGAUUCAAACUCAGGCACCUGUCUAAAAGCUUUAUUUGAUUUAUUUUUUACAUUUGUAUCCCACCUUUCCUCCAAGGUAGAGUACAUGAUUCCUGCCCUUCCCUUCACAGCAGCCCUGUGACAUAGGUUAGGUUGAGAAGCACUAACUGGCCCAAAUAUCACCCAGUGAGCUUCUUUCCUCUGUGGAUAUUUGAACCUGAGUAUUCCAGAUUCUGCUCUGGUACUAACCACUACAUCACACUAGCUUUUAGGUGUCAUCCAGAUGUUUUCUCAAGACAUCCAAUUGUGGUUUCUCUACCUCCUGGUUUAGUUGAAUUUCACAUGUAUAAAAAUGUCAUGAAAGUUAAACAAUGUACUUUGUCCUGCAUCGUGCACACCCUAGGAAAGACCUCCUAUCAUGCUAAACCAUAAUAGCAGAAACCAUGGCUUGCAAGACCAGUUCAUACCAUGGUUUCUUAUAUGAUUUGCUGGAUAAUCACAGGCUAUGUGUUGUCAAUUCAGGCAUCACAUCAUGCUUUGAUUUGUGUCUGAAUUUGAGUCAUUAUGUCUGAUUCCAGAUUUAGAUUAUUUUAUCUUGAUACCAUCAAUUCAUCUUUAGUAGCAUUCUUUUUGUAAAUUACAGAAUUUCUAUGUACAAAAUAUCAGACUCCCCUGAGAUAACAUUUUUAUGUUAUACAUUUCACAUAUGGAGAGAAUCUGUGUUUUGUGUCUUAAAAUGUCAUAUAAAAUAAGAAUAAUUCGAUUGCAUUCAUUUUUGGCAUCUGUAAAAAGCUUGCAAAUGUUAAAUAAAUUAGCCACAAACUGAAUAUGGUAUCAGUGGUUAUUUCUUGUGAGCAAAUGUAAUUAACUGUCUGACCCGUAACUAUUUUAAGUUUGCUUUAUUAAACUUUGUUAACAAAUAAAAUUUAUGUAAUAAUAAAAGAGGAAAAUUGUUCUUUUUAUAAUCAAAUAAGUUAAUCUUACAUACAUUUCAAACAGCACUAACAUUUCCCCCCUUGCUUUUCCCAUUCAGGACUAUCCUUUUCUGGAACCAAUCUAAGCUUAAACACUUGAAUUUGUGCUUUUUCAAUCUUUGAAUUAGUCAAUGAAACCAUACUGGUUGAUAUGCAAAUAUUCAAGGUUUACUGAGUUAUAGAUCAGGCUAUAACAUCCUUUUUCUUAAUUUUAAAAUUACAUCUUAAUGCUAGUCAGCUGUUUAAGAGAUGCCAUGUCUAAUACACAUACACAAUGCAUUGAGAAACUAUCUCAAUUUACCUGUCAAUGUAGACUUUAAAUUAAAGUAUAUAUAGACAUGGAAUAGAUCUAUGUUGGACAGCCCCCACAACAAGGUGGGGAGCACUUUCAAGUGAAGUGAGUUUCCAUUUGAAGCUGUCACUUUUAUAUCUUGCUCUUAAGUACAUUGGGUGACUAUAUUGGGCUGAAAUUCAAAAUUUCUGCCUUGUUUCCCUGUGUACACCAAGAUUUCCGGUUUCCACAUUUCACAGCAGCCUUCGGUGUCUCCCUGAGAAGCCUCUUAGGAAGAUUAGAUGAUUGUCCAGUGGGGUAUCUAGCGUAGUGCAAAGGACCGCAGCUGAAAGCAAAACUCAGCAGUAUCUCACGUGUUUACAGAAGCACUUCAAUCACAUCAGCACAGAUGUAUUUGGCUCCUGGCCAUAAUCACUCCAAAGUACCAUUACUGUUGUUGGGGUUUUUUGGCUAAUCUUGAAGCCGUAUUCUGAUGAUCCCUCGUACCUACAGGACCGCUUCUCCUGGUAUGUCCCACG